rnacentral:rRNA from 1 species
CGAACGUACACAAUCUUCCGAUAAGUGGGGAAUAGCCCAGAGAAAUUUGGAUUAAUACCCCGUAACAUAUAGAGUAGGCAUCUUCUUUAUAUUAUAGCUUCGGCGCUUAUUGAUGGGUGUGCGUCUGAUUAGGUAGUUGGCGGGGUAACGGCCCACCAAGCCUACGAUCAGUAGCUGAUGUGAGAGCAUGAUCAGCCACACGGGCACUGAGACACGGGCCCG